rnacentral:rRNA from 1 species
UACGUAGGGUGCGAGCGUUAAUCGGAAUUACUGGGCGUAAAGGGCCAGUAGGCGGCCAACUAAGGCCGACGUGAAAUCCCCAGGCUUAACCUGGGAACUGCGUCGGAUACUGGAUGGCUUGAAUUCGGGAGAGGGAUGCAGAAUUCCAGGUGUAGCGGUGAAAUGCGUAGAUAUCUGGAGGAAUACCGGUGGCGAAGGCGGCAUCCUGGACCAACACUGACGCUGAGUGAGCGAAAGCCAGGGGAGCAAACGGG